rnacentral:rRNA from 1 species
GACGAACGCUGGCGGCGUGCUUAACACAUGCAAGUCGAACGGUGAAGCGCCUUCCUUUUUGGUGGGUGUGGAUGAGUGGCGAACGGGUGAGUAACACGUGAGUAACCUGCCCCCUUCUUCUGGAUAACCGCAUGAAAGUGUGGCUAAUACGGGAUAUUCUGGGUCUGUCGCAUGAUGGGUCUGGGAAAGUUAUUGUUUCGGUGGGGGAUGGGCACGCGGCCUAUCCGCUUGUUGGCGGGGUGAUAGCCUACCAAGGCGGUGACGGGUAGCCGGCCCGGGAGGGUGGACGGGCUGACUGGGGCUGAGGCACGGCCAAGACUGGUACGAGAGGCAGCAGUGAGGACUAUGGCACGAUGGGGGGAAGCCUAAUGCAGCGACGCCGCGUGAGGGAUGGAGCCCUUCGGGUUGUGAACCGCUUUCGCCAGUGAAGCAGGCCUGCCUCGUUUGUGAGUGGGUUGACGGUAGCGGGAUAAGAAGCGCCGGCUAACUACGUG